rnacentral:rRNA from 1 species
GAUUAACGCUGGCGGCGUGCAUAACACAUGCAAGUCGAACGAUGAAACUUAAAUGAUUUCUUCGGAAUGAACUUAAGUGGAUUAGUGGCGGACGGGUGAGUAACGCGUGAGUAACCUGCCUUACACAAGGGGAUAGCCGUUGGAAACGACGAAUAAUACCCUAUGAAACUACCACUUCGCAUGAAGCGAUAGUCAAAGUGUUAGCGGUGUAAGAUGGACUUGCGUCUGAUUAGCUAGUUGGUGAGAAAAAAGCCCACCAAGGCAACGAUCAGUAGCCGGCUUGAGAGAGUGUACGGCCACAUUGGGACUGAGACACGGCCCAGACUCCUACGGGAGGCAGCAGUGGGGAAUUUUGCACAAUGGGGGAAACCCUGAUGCAGCGACGCCGCGUGAUUUAGAAGGCCUUCGGGUUGUAAAAAUCUUUUGUAUAGGAAGAAAAUGACAGUACUAUACGAAUAAGGUCCGGCUAAUUACGUG